CUAAACCAUGCACCGAAGCUGCGGCAGCGACACUAUGUGUUGUUGGGUAGGGGAGCGUUCUGUAAGCCUGUGAAGGUGGCCUGUGAGGGUUGCUGGAGGUAUCAGAAGUGCGAAUGCUGACAUAAGUAACGAUAAAGCGGGUGAAAAGCCCGCUCGCCGGAAGACCAAGGGUUCCUGUCCAACGUUAAUCGGGGCAGGGUGAGUCGACCCCUAAGGCGAGGCCGAAAGGCGUAGUCGAUGGGAAACAGGUUAAUAUUCCUGUACUUGGUGUUACUGCGAAGGGGGGACGGAGAAGGCUAUGUUGGCCGGGCGACGGUUGUCCCGGUUUAAGCGUGUAGGCUGGUUUUCCAGGCAAAUCCGGAAAACCAAGGCUGAGGCGUGAUGACGAGGCACUACGGUGCUGAAGUGACAAAUGCCCUGCUUCCAGGAAAAGCCUCUAAGCAUCAGGUAACAUCAAAUCGUACCCCAAACCGACACAGGUGGUCAGGUAGAGAAUACCAAGGCGCUUGAGAGAACUCGGGUGAAGGAACUAGGCAAAAUGGUGCCGUAACUUCGGGAGAAGGCACGCUGAUAUGUAGGUGAAGCGACUUGCUCGUGGAGCUGAAAUCAGUCGAAGAUACCAGCUGGCUGCAACUGUUUAUUAAAAACACAGCACUGUGCAAACACGAAAGUGGACGUAUACGGUGUGACGCCUGCCCGGUGCCGGAAGGUUAAUUGAUGGGGUUAGCGGUAACGCGAAGCUCUUGAUCGAAGCCCCGGUAAACGGCGGCCGUAACUAUAACGGUCCUAAGGUAGCGAAAUUCCUUGUCGGGUAAGUUCCGACCUGCACGAAUGGCGUAAUGAUGGCCAGGCUGUCUCCACCCGAGACUCAGUGAAAUUGAACUCGCUGUGAAGAUGCAGUGUACCCGCGGCAAGACGGAAAGACCCCGUGAACCUUUACUAUAGCUUGACACUGAACAUUGAGCCUUGAUGUGUAGGAUAGGUGGGAGGCUUUGAAGUGUGGACGCCAGUCUGCAUGGAGCCGACCUUGAAAUACCACCCUUUAAUGUUUGAUGUUCUAACGUUGGCCCCUAAUCGGGGUUGCGGACAGUGUCUGGUGGGUAGUUUGACUGGGGCGGUCUCCUCCUAAAGAGUAACGGAGGAGCACGAAGGUUGGCUAAUCCUGGUCGGACAUCAGGAGGUUAGUGCAAUGGCAUAAGCCAGCUUGACUGCGAGCGUGACGGCGCGAGCAGGUGCGAAAGCAGGUCAUAGUGAUCCGGUGGUUCUGAAUGGAAGGGCCAUCGCUCAACGGAUAAAAGGUACUCCGGGGAUAACAGGCUGAUACCGCCCAAGAGUUCAUAUCGACGGCGGUGUUUGGCACCUCGAUGUCGGCUCAUCACAUCCUGGGGCUGAAGUAGGUCCCAAGGGUAUGGCUGUUCGCCAUUUAAAGUGGUACGCGAGCUGGGUUUAGAACGUCGUGAGACAGUUCGGUCCCUAUCUGCCGUGGGCGCUGGAGAACUGAGGGGGGCUGCUCCUAGUACGAGAGGACCGGAGUGGACGCAUCACUGGUGUUCGGGUUGUCAUGCCAAUGGCACUGCCCGGUAGCUAAAUGCGGAAGAGAUAAGUGCUGAAAGCAUCUAAGCACGAAACUUGCCCCGAGAUGAGUUCU
rnacentral:rRNA from 1 species